CGUGCGCCGCACGUAGCUCUUCACGUGUGUGUGGAGAGGGGAAGAGAGGCGCGGAGCGGCCUCCUGGCUCCGCCUCUCCUUAUUCCCGUCAGCGCUUCCCUGGGGAGCUGCGCCCCCCGCCCCACUAAGUCCCGAGAGUGCGAGUGAGGCGCGGGUUGGCUCCGCCAAGUGGCGCCGCCGCUGUUCCCUGACUAACGGCCGCCCCGCCCCUGCUCCCUCCCCCCGGCGUGUCCCUUCCCCUCCCCCCGCGUGUCCUGCCCCCUCCCCUGCCGCCGCCGCCGCUGCUACCAGCGCAGCCUGGACUAAGGCGAACUCCGGAGCGAACUGAGGAGAAGUGAGGAGGCGGCGGCGGGGCUGAGACUCACCAGCCACAGGCAGCGGGAGGGAGGUGGUGAGGACACCGGGCGCAGCGAGGCGGCAGAGACACCAGCAGCGGCCGGGAGAAAACAACCGGCGGCGGCGGCAGCUCCUCGGGAAGCAACAGCAGCAGCAGCAGCGGCUGCCCGGCCCCCUCCCCCGCCGCGGAGAGCAGGCAGGGGCAGUGCCGCGGAGAGGCGCCGGGCUUAGCGUGUGCGCGCGGGAGGAGGGGGGACCUGGAGGACUGCGCCGGCCGGCCGGGGGCGCAGGGAGCCGGGGAACGGGGGGAGACCGAGUUUCCUCUUUUCUGCACCCGGGACCCGGCGGUGGCGGGUUGGUUUGUUGCUGAUUGAAUCUUCUUCCUCCUCGGGGAGCCCCCCCCCCUCCCCGCCCGGAUCCGGCCGGGCGCCCCGUGCCGUGGUUGAGCUGCGCGGCGGGCGCUCGCGGGCUCUGCGCGAUUGGAAUAUGGUUGGGGAAAUGGAAACCAAGGAGAAGCCGAAGCCGAGCCCCGAUUACCUGAUGCAGCUGAUGAACGACAAGAAGCUGAUGAGCAGCCUCCCCAACUUCUGCGGGAUCUUCAACCACCUCGAGAGGUUGCUGGACGAAGAAAUUAGCAGAGUACGGAAAGACAUGUAUAACGACACAUUAAAUGGUAGUACGGAGAAGAGAAGUGCAGAAUUACCAGAUGCUGUGGGACCUAUUGUACAGUUACAAGAGAAACUAUAUGUGCCUGUAAAAGAAUAUCCAGAUUUCAAUUUUGUGGGAAGAAUCCUUGGUCCCAGAGGACUAACAGCUAAACAGCUGGAGGCAGAAACAGGAUGCAAGAUAAUGGUCCGAGGAAAGGGCUCAAUGAGGGACAAAAAGAAGGUCUCCUUUAAGAGCAGAGGCAACCUUGAUCCAGCAGUUUUGGAGGUAGAGGAGGAACAAAACAGAGGCAAGCCCAACUGGGAACACCUGAAUGAAGAUUUACAUGUACUAAUCACUGUGGAAGAUGCUCAAAACAGAGCAGAAAUCAAAUUGAAGAGGGCUGUUGAAGAAGUGAAAAAAUUACUGGUACCUGCAGCAGAGGGGGAAGACAGCCUUAAAAAGAUGCAACUAAUGGAACUUGCAAUUCUGAAUGGCACCUACAGAGACGCCAACAUCAAAUCACCAGCCCUUGCCUUUUCUCUUGCAGCGACAGCCCAGGCUCCAAGGAUUAUUACUGGGCCUGCGCCUGUUCUCCCCCCAGCUGCCCUGCGUACUCCUACGCCAGCUGGCCCUACCAUAAUGCCUUUGAUCAGACAGAUACAGACCGCUGUCAUGCCAAACGGAACUCCUCAUCCAACUGCUGCAAUAGUUCCUCAAGGACCUGAAGCUGGUUUAAUUUACACACCCUAUGAGUAUCCCUAUACACUGGCACCAGCGACAUCAAUUCUUGAGUAUCCUAUUGAACCUAGUGGCGUAUUAGGUAUGGCUUUCCCAACGAAAGGCUAAGAAUUCAAGAACGGUCUUAACUGAACCCUCAUCAGAUCUGAAUUUAACAAAUGCUUAGUUUCAGCAGUCUUGAAAAAAAGUAGCCUAGCAGUCAGUGACUUACUUGCACUUUUUUUGCACAUAGAUAUAAAAUAAAAUAGUGCUAUUAAUUUGGUUUAGUCUCUAUUAUUACAAAGUAGCUGUAAUUUAUGAGUGUAUAGUAGUAUACUGACUGCUAAGUGUUCUAUACUGUUUGCUUUACUAAUCACCUAAUUCAUUGCAGUUCAUACUUUAUUGACUUAAAAUUUAAAACCACAUCUGUAGGCAUGAAGAAUUGCUUUAAAACUUUUUUUAAUGGUAGAAACUGGAAGUGGUCUGAAGGGUAGCAAAUAAUUGUCAGUAUUAAAAAUGGCAUUAUUUAAAGUAGUGCUGCUGCAAAAAAGGCACUUCAGUGAAUAUGUGACUAGUAAAGCUUAAAUGUUCUUGGAUCUAAUAGAUUUCAUGAAAUACUGUAAUGUUGGGAUUGAAAAUGAGUGGAUUAAACAGGUUAAGGCCAGGAUGUUUGAAAUAAAUGCAAUAUUAAUCUGCACAGAUAUACUUCAUAUAUUAAAGUUAAGAUUUGAAACUACUGUGCCUUAACUUGUUGCUUUCUUAAAAUGAAUUUUGUAGUAAAUGAUCACUUAAAUCCAUUUUGCUAAACCUGCUGUUAAUGUUUGUCUUUGAAUGUUUUCUAACUUUGUCUUGGUAAUUGCAAUUUAACUAGGUGCGGUGGCUACUAAAGUUCGAAGGCACGAUAUGCGUGUCCAUCCUUACCAAAGGAUUGUGACCGCAGACCGAGCCGCCACCGGCAACUAACCUAUGACCUUCUGACCUCUGAACUCUUCACCCAAUGAUGACCUGACCAUGCCUGCCUGCUGAUCAGUUAACUGGUAAUCGCCUUUGCUUGCCUGUCUUCAGUGCAGCGAGCUGAGGCACUUGUCCGUUCGUCUUACCAUCUAACAAAAAAGACAAAGAAAUUAUUGUCCUCCAACUCAGCUUUUUUUUCCUGUUUGGGUGAAAGUGGUUCUAGAACCUGCACUGAAUAGUAGUAAAGCAAUAAGGUCCAAUUCAUCCCUCAGCACUGAUCAUCCUUUAGUGUCCCACCCUAAACGAACGGUAAGAAGGCCUCACUUAAGUGAUGGAGACAGAUGUCCCUUAACUACCCGAUGACAGAGGCAGUUACUGUGAGCGACUUCUAGGAAUCUUUUUCUUCUCAUAAUGAAGUCAAAGCUCUCUUUGAAUGUACUGUGUGAUGAUGCAUCAUGCAUGAACCUUUGGUCAGGGAUGUCAUUGGUGAAGGGAUUCCAAAAAGUAUUCAAAAUUUGACUUGCUGUUUAGUCACUACCAGUGCCCUCAAAGGGCAAAAGUUGCAGCCUUUUUUCUAUUGCCUGCCAAAUUGGAUGUUUUAAAAGAACGUGUGCCAUGAAAGAUAGAUUUCAGUGAAUUUUCAGAACUAUGUUAAUGCAAAGAACAAAACAGCAACACUAUGAAAGCAAAAUCUGAGUUAAGAUUACUUUAACCAUAUUUAAACUUUCUUAAAAGAUUACAUGAGAACAAGGUACAUGCAUUAUGUGUCACAUUACUGGGCAAACUGUUCAAAUAUUUUUUUUAAACCUCCCUGUAUAGAAAAAUUUCAUUAAGGAUGUAAAAGCCAUGCUUGCCUAUUUGCUGUAUACAUGUAAUGAAAUUGUAGAUAAAGUAUAGUGCAUUGAAACAAAAUGAACAAAAAAGUAGAUACUUUUACUAUACAAGGGUGCUGGUGCAGAAAAAAUAUAUUUUUGGAAAUGUAGCAUUUUAUACUUUCAAGUGUUAUAAAAAAAAGAAAAAAAGAACAAAGAAACAACCCUUUAUUUCAUUAAAUGAUUUUUUCUGGUGGUUGUCAAGAAACAAAAGACCAAAAGAGCCUUUUUGUCUUUCUUUUUUAUUUUUUAAGUAUUGGAAUAAGUCUAAAGAAAAGGAAGUGCCUUAUUUUCUUCAUGGUCAUUUAGUCAAAUGUCUCAUAUAAUCAGCUCCUCCCUCAGACAACAAGUUAAUGCAUGCCACUUAGUCGCCCAGUAUGUGAAAAGAAGCUGGGAAAGGAAGACAAAUGAGUUGACCGUUUGAAAUACCUGAUUUUUGCCAUAGUAGCAUGAUGCAACUUUGCCAAAUCUUAUAAUGUGAAACGUUUGAUAAUUUUUCUAUCAAAUGCUGGCCCCCAUUAGUCUUGCAACAUUUUCACCAUCUCAAACCAUAGUUAACAUAUUUUGUUUCAUGUACUUGCUCAAUCUAAACCAAAGGGUUCUGACUCAUUCUAAAUCAGAGCAUUAGCUGACACAUGUUUAUAGGGCAGCAAGUGCUCCAUUUUGUUCAGGGGAUGGCGUGGAGUUGUCUUGAUUUGAAAUAUUGACAAGUAUAGCAGACCUUGUAUUUGUCCACAGAAUAAAGUUUGGUGGAUAAUGAAAUUGAACAUGUUUAACUAAUUUUAAGUCUGACCUAAGCAUGUUCCAGUAUUUUGUAAGCAGCUCCCACAGUGUCAAAUAGUGUAUAAGAUAUUCAAUUCUCAUAAUAUUGAUUGUUGCUUUUUAUUCAAAAGAAAAGCAGGAAAGAUUCAUCGACUAACUAUUUAAAAAUUCAUCUAUAGUUCAGUAUUAUCUUUUAGCGCCACAUGAAAUUCAUGUAGCUAGACCAGCAUAAGAGCUGAGAAGCUUUUUUGAAUAGUGUUGAAUUCUGAAAAUAUUGAGCAAGUAUCAGUUUGCUAAUGUCUCAGUAUUAGACUUGGCAAAUAUCAGGUGAUAAUUUAUUUCCCCUCUUGUCAACUUAUUCUCCUCCUGCAAACCUUCAUAGCUUCCAAAUCAAAGGUCAAUAGUAAGCUAAGAAAGAGGGCUUACGGUUUAAGCACCUGUUUGGUGACUUCAUCUAGCAUCUUGUCUCACCUGGAAACAAUUAUCAGUUUAUUUACUAUGCAAUAGACAUUCAUCCUUUUGUAUUCAGCUAGCUUUUGUUUAUCGUGCCACCAGCUUUGUCUUCCUGUUACACAUACAGUUGUUUUGACUUAAUUUACAGUAUAUAUGCUGUGCCAUUUUGAUUUUUGUUUGUUUGGUUGAAUAAACCUGCGACACUCAAACAUUUGAGAAGAGAUUUGCUAAAACAAUACCAGUAUUUGAUCCAGAUUCAUCUCAACUAUGAUAAACCUGGACAUUUUUAGAUGUUUAUCAAAUGGGGGAAAGUUACGUGUAUGAAAUAGAAGUGUGACAUGUAAUAGUAAUGUUUGCUCUGAAUGAACAAACUUUUGAAAACAUAGUUGACAAAAUUUUGGAUCAACUUAAAAAAAAGCAUGACUUUUGAAAUCUCUGAAUGCCUUGGUUCUCAGUAUUAUAAUUCUUUAUUGAAUUUUUCUUUAUUAAAAUAUGUAGUUUUAAGACUUCUUUCUGACAGUAUUAUGUAAUUUUUUAGAGUGGGUAGAUGGGAGUGUCGCUUGUAUGUAACAGUACAGAUGACAUGUAUUUGUCUAUUCUUUAUUAUCUUAGUAGUUUCAUGCUGUGUAUGUAUCAUAACCAACCUAUUGCCUAUGAGAAACAUGUAAGAUAAUGUAUUUACAGCCAUUGUUACAAGUUUAUAAUGUAUUUUUCUAUCUUGUUUUAUAUGUAUGUUAUAUAAAACAUUCAAUUUUUUUCCUGAUUGAGAAAAAAAGGAUACAAAAAUGCAAAACCCACAAUUUUGAUAACUGAAAAUUGCCAAUUGUUUUGCAGUACUUUAUUAUAUUGGGAGUGUUGUCUUUCUUGGGCUUUUAGUUAGCUACUGGAUGAAUACAUUAGACAUAUUUGGGUUUUAGUUGGGUUUUUACAUAGCUUGCAUUUUAAUUCUUUGGUUCUUUGCUGUUUCUAUUAACCCAUAGCAUUAUUUUAAUAAAUGUUAUAAUACCAACCUACUAACUCUGGACUAUGUCUGUUUAUUAACCAUUACAUGUUUAAUUAAAAUAAACAAACAAAGACGGAAGAAUGUAAAGUCUUGAGUUACUGGACUAACCCUGAAGAACGUGACCACAGAUAACACAUGACUUGUAUUUAUGUUGUUUGUCGGCUGACAUUCUGCACACUACUAUUAAAUUGGCUUUUGGUCAUUCUGGCCUUUGCCUUGGGGGGGGGGUAGGUGGAGUAGAGAUGGGAACAAAGUAGCAUUAUUUGAAGCAUUCUUCUUGUAGUCUUGCCACUUGCCUUUCAGCAUCUGCAUUACUAAUUCCACACAUUACUUUUUCUUUCUCUAAAAUAAUCACUGUCAGCUCACAGCAAAAGAGCAAAGAUGCCAGUAUAUUGAUAAAUCAUGUGAUGGUGUACCCAGAGAAACCAGUUUGAUUCUUUGUUGAACCAUUUUGAUGUCACAGUAAAUCUCAUUGAAAUUUGCCAUUCUUUAUUUAAAGCACCUGAUUUAGUGUCACAUCUUGUGAUUCUCUUCUAUUUUGUAUAAGCACACAUUAUUACUGAACUAUAUUUUUUGUGUAUCUGAAGCAAGGAACUGGCUUUUUUUUCUAGGAGGUCACAAAGAUUUUCCUACAGCUUGCUUUAUUUCCUACUUGACAUACUAUUUAUGUAAAUGUUUUUUGUACGUCUGUAGUCUGUCAUUAUCACCUAGCUCAGGGGAGUACAACUUCUGAAAAGCCAAAGAUCAAGCUGGAUCAUUUCCUAAUGACUACAGAAAGUACAAAAUACUAAACCUGUGGCACUAUAUUACUGAGAAAUAGCCAUUUCAAAUACCAAGGCUCUUUACCUGUGAUCUCUAUCCCUGUGGAUGACCGUAGCAACACGAAUGCAGGGCAUGUAAAUGGUGGAAACACGGUAGUAAAUAUGUUUUUGUUUUUGAGCUUCGAUGCAAAUGACUUUUACAGAGAAACUUCAUAUUUAAAAUUUUCUAUUAUUUGAAGUUUUGUUUGUAGCCUGGUUAGGCCUACCAGAUUUUUGCAUAAAUGUACAGUAAUUACCAGCUAUUCCCUUCGGAGACCUUUGAUGCACAUCACUUAUUUCCCUGAUAUUGACAGUUUACUUUUCUGUGAAGUAGCAAUCUACUUGCCUGGGAAUAAAAAUUCAGAUGAGAAAUCGGCAUCUGUUCAAACUGGGUUUUUUCCAUUUGUUGUCAUAAGCUUUAAUUUACAGAUUUCAGAAUCCUUGUAAUAAAGUUUUUAUUUUAAAAAGUGGAAAGUUCUCCCAAUUUUUUUAAGUUAAUUUUAUGUAGAAAAAUUGGGCCGAGCACUAAUUAAUAAGUAGUUUGUGCAUUAAUUUGGUAGGCAUGUUGAUAUACAACUAGAUUUUUUAAAUACCCGUUUAAACAUCUAGUUUAAUUUACAGAACUGUACAGAUGCAACUGUAAAAUAGAGAAAAUUGAUAGGUCUAGAACAAGUUACACAUGUACAAAAAAAAGUUUUUUGGGGGGGCCAUUUCACUGCUUAUACUAUGAAUGUAUUGCUAUCCAAAAAUUCAAUGAGACAGUGUGAAAAGAAAAUAACUCAUAGUGGAUAAAAUCAGAACCUUAUGAUUCAAGUAAUGUGACAUUACAACUAUGAAUUUGGAGUUAUAUAGAAAAUGCUCAAAACAUUUGAGACAGGACAAGUGUUUAAACUUUGAGAUGUCUACAAAUUUGAUUAAAACUUCCUGGGUGGGACUAGACAUUGUUAUGGUUUUUGGAUAGCAAAAUAUCUUCUAGGGGCAAUUAGUUGGAUGCUUACGAUACAACUUUAUGAUCUUCAUUAUCUUUUAUUAUCCAUGAACUACUGUCAUAGUUUGCCCACAGUGGGCAUUUUCAUCUCAGUGUCAAUUAUACAUAGUAAUGAACAUUUGCCCAGAAGAGAAGUGGGUUAUUGUUGUUUUUUAAACUGAAGGAAAACAAUAAGUCUUAAAAGCAAAAUAACUCUUUUUAUACAAAUUAAUGUUACUAUUGAACAUAAGUGCAGGUCUCAAUGUCCAUAGCUAAGUGCUUAACUAAAAAUCUUGUCAACUAUAAAAAGGCAACAAUUUAAGAUGAAUUUCUGGCGCUUGAGCUUGAUAACUUCAGUGUUACUCUAUUGUUAAAGUUUUUUGUGUUUUUAAUUCUGGAAGGGUAAAAUGUCUUUCAGAUUUUAUAAAAGGCAUGUAUUCAAGCAAACCUACAGCACUGCAGUUCCUUCCAGCAAAAAUGGAGUCAAUUUAAAUAAGUAUAUUUUUAUUUACAUUUAAUUUACAAUUUUAUGCAAAUAUAAACAGAAGUACAACAAAACCCUUUUAAAUAAAUACUGGAUGAAGCAAUAUUCUUUUAAAAAAGCACUUCAGAAAAUCAGCCUCUUGGAGAAUAAUCUUACUGUGCAUCAAACCAAAAUACGUUUCAUAGAGAGUCCCCAAAGACUUUAAGUAUCUUUUGUGCAGAUAUUUAACCAGUUUUAGAUUACUAAUCAGUAUUUACUAAUAUACUAUUUGAACAGAUCUUUUAACAAGUUUGUGUAAAAAUCCACUUAUACAUAAUAUAACAAGCUAAAAUUGCUUUAUUUCCAAUCACACCCUUUAAUCUAUGGGGACCACUGAAAAGUUUUCUGCACUGCAAAAUGCUGUAGGAAAUGCACACUAAAGUAUGUUGCUAUCCAAUAAAAAAGAAUGCAGAAAAAUAUAACUCUUUUUGAAACUUUUUUAUGUAUCUGGAUAAUUAAACGGGCACUCUAAAUGGCACAUUACACAAUAAAGUCCUUGUAACGCUUUUUACAAACAUUCCUGAAGUGCAAGUGUGUAAUUGUACUUAGAAUGCCUAGUUUAUUUUUAAUAGAUCUUUGAUAUAGAGAGAUGUUUUGUGAAAUAAUAUAUUAAUGGUAUACUGUUUUUUCAACUAAUCAUAUGAACCAUUACACUGACAUGGUAAUCAAUGUUGAAUCAAACUGGUUAACUUAAGCACAUUGGUCUCCUUCCUAUGUGCCUGCUUACUGAUUGCAGGUGGUAUAGUUCCGCAUUGGAGGUGGGUGUCAUGCGCAGCAGAUGGUUACUUGCUCUAUUAGCUUCUUGGUGCCAGCAGUUUGGGUGUCCGUUGUUGACAACAGACUGCACUGGGAGAAAUUUGACUCCCAGGGCGGAAAUUAAUUUGCAUCUAAAAAACUAUUAGAGAAGAGUUAAUAGAAUAUAUAUCCUUUUUGACUUAUAUUGUGGCAGUUUGUGUGAAACAUUUAAGGUUUUGUUUGUACAAAAUAAUGUAUUUUGAGGGGGGGAAAUAGACCUUGCCAAAACACAUGUAAAUAAAAACACCAAGUAUGACUGUACAUGAUGUGCAAUAAAAUAACUGGAAAAAGUGCAUGUACUUUAUCAAAAGCCGAUUGGAAGCUAUCAAUGCUGCAACUAUAGUUUUAUUUUCUGAAAAGUCACAUUUUAUUCUGUAUUUAAACAGCAGAAUAAAGAAUCUGCAUUUUU